rnacentral:rRNA from 1 species
UACGUAGGGGGCAAGCGUUGUCCGGAAUCAUUGGGCGUAAAGAGCGUGUAGGCGGCUCGAUCAGUCCGCUGUAAAAGUCCAGGGCUCAACCCUGGGAUGCCGGUGGAAACUGUCGGGCUAGAGUCCGGGAGAGGCGAGUGGAAUUCCUGGUGUAGCGGUGAAAUGCGCAGAUAUCAGGAGGAACACCGGUGGCGAAGGCGGGUCUCUGGGCCGUAACUGACGCUGAGGAGCGAAAGCAUGGGGAGCGAACAGG